GCCUGACUCCACAUUUCUCCUAUCGUAAGUCCCGAUGUGGGCUUGUGUGGGCUCAUUUUUUUCCCCCUCCGGCCCAUACGUGCUUAGGGUGGAUUCCGUUGGUCCGGUUGUAUGGGGGGGGGGUUAUUGUACGUAGUUUUAGCUUCGUUUAGGACACGGAGCUGGUCCCUCUUGCGACCGUUCUCUUCGGCGUUCAGGCUCCGCCCCC